rnacentral:rRNA from 1 species
AUUGAACGCUGGCGGAAUGCUUUACACAUGCAAGUCGAACGGCAGCACGGGGCAACCUGGUGGCGAGUGGCGAACGGGUGAGUAAUACAUCGGAACGUGCCCAAUCGUGGGGGAUAACGUAGCGAAAGUUACGCUAAUACCGCAUACGAUCUACGGAUGAAAGCGGGGGAUCGCAAGACCUCGCGCGAAUGGAGCGGCCGAUGUCAGAUUAGGUAGUUGGUGGGGUAAAGGCUCACCAAGCCAACGAUCUGUAGCUGGUCUGAGAGGACGACCAGCCACACUGGGACUGAGACACGGCCCAGACUCCUACGGGAGGCAGCAGUGGGGAAUUUUGGACAAUGGGCGCAAGCCUGAUCCAGCCAUUCCGCGUGCAGGAUGAAGGCCUUCGGGUUGUAAACUGCUUUUGUACGGAACGUAACGGUUCUCUCUAAUACAGGGGGCUAAUGACGGUACCGUAAGAAUAAGCACCGGCUAACUACGUGCCAGCAGCCGCGGUAAAAC